rnacentral:lncRNA from 14 species
UUAUAAACAAGAGUUGGGAAGUGUAAGGGAACUGCCUGAGCCGCGCUGGGAAGUCCGGUCCCGAGUGGGAAGGGCGAUAGGGAUGGGGAAGGAGGCUACGGGGAUGUGAGAGGCUCCGCUGUCAAACCGUGCUCGCAGGGGCCGGGAAGGGCAGGAUGGAACCACGCUGGGGUAGCGGUUCUUUAACGGGUUGGGGACGGGACAGGUUCCUUGCCCGCAGGUCUGGUAUAGGCACGGUGAAUGGGGUGAGGAGGUGCAAUGUACCUGGGCUUCGGGUUCGUUCUGUGCCUUUAGAAAGGGCAGGAAAAGUUGAGGUGCCAGCGGAUGCCUCGGGAGGCUUUGCCAAGUUGUGGUGCGGUGUCACAAGGUGGCAGGGUUUGAGGUCUGAGCGUGUAGGUCCCAUCAAGACAGGAGCUGUGCCCUUACCUGCAGCCCUGCUCCAGGAAACCUUCCCUGUGCAUGGGAGAUGUUCCAUACCCGUGUGGCUUCUCCCAGGAGGAAGAGGAGGAAGACAGCAGCCCUGGAGUGUCCUUCUCCCUCUCUUCAGAAGAGUCAGAGAUGGAGCCUGAGGAAGAGCGGAUCCGUUACAGCCAAAGACUGGGAACUUCCAGCUCGUGCCAUUCCCUUUCUGCAUCAGUAACUUUCCCUUCUUCAAGGACCUUCAAAAGAUGAUUAUUCCCUUCAAGACACAUGCUUUGAAAUGGGGGGAGCUCUUAGCUCACUUCUGACCAUGGCAGAACGAGAUAUCGCAGGUGAAUUAACCAGCAAGACAAAAGUGCUGAAUAAGACUUACUUGAAUAUCCUCCUCCUACACAUGCUUUGGUUUUGGGAGUUGGCUUUAAUGUGCCUACAUUAGAAGUUCUAAGUAGGGAAACAGGUAACUGGUUGUACAGCAUGUUGCUGUUUUUCUUGUGUGUGAGUUGGGAUCAAUGUGGGGGUGACAGUGAAAGAAUAAACCUGUUUUUAAAUGAAAUCA